GUGAACGCUGGCGGUAGGCCUCACACCUGCAAGUCGAACGGCAGCACAGUAAGAGCUUGCUCUUACGGGUGGCGAGUGGCGGACGGGUGAGGAAUACAUCGGAAUCUACUUUUUCGUGGGGGAUAACGUAGGGAAACUUACGCUAAUACCGCAUACGACCUACGGGUGAAAGCAGGGGAUCUUCGGACCUUGCGCGAUUGAAUGAGCUGAUGUCGGAUUAGCUAGUUGGCGGGGUAAAGGCCCACCAAGGCGACGAUCCGUAGCUGGUCUGAGAGGAUGAUCAGCCACACUGGAACUGAGACACGGUCCAGACUCCUACGGGAGGCAGCAGUGGGGAAUAUUGGACAAUGGGCGCAAGCCUGAUCCAGCCAUACCGCGUGGGUGAAGAAGGCCUUCGGGUUGUAAAGCCCUUUUGUUGGGAAAGAAAAGCAGCAGGUUAAUACCCCGCUGUUCUGACGGUACCCAAAGAAUAAGCACCGGCUAACUUCGUG
rnacentral:rRNA from 1 species